AGGGUUGCGACUGGGCAUCGCG
rnacentral:miRNA from 5 species